ACGAGCUAGUGAGAGAAAGGGUGAUGGGAAGGAAAAUGGGUAGGAAACAAUGGGUUUGAUGGCUAUGGGUGCAUGCAUGGGAUGAGUGAUAUGGAACGAGCUAGUGAGAGAAAGGGUGAUGGGAAGGAAAAUGGGUAGGAAACAAUGGGUGCAUGCAUGGGAUGAUUGAUAUGGAACGAGCUAGUGAGAGAAAGGGUGAUGGGAAGGAAAAUGGGUAUCAUGGGGGAGUGAAUAAUGAGAGAAAUGGAUUAGUGGAUAUUGAGAAGGUGGUGGAGAAAUGGAGUGGAUUUUUAAGGCAUGGUGACAUGGGCAUGGUAGCAAAGGAUGAUAAAUGGGGAGAGAGGUAUGGUUAUGAUGCCACUGCUUCCUUGAUAUAUAAACAUGUGCAUGACAAUUUUGAUGGCCUUUGAGACUUCAUGAUUUUGUUGUGCAUCUGAGUUGCUGAUGGCCCGAACUUAUCACUUGCUCCUGUCUAUG
rnacentral:lncRNA from 1 species